UACCCCUCGGGGUCGCACCUGGAGAGUUUUCAGUAUUCUACCAGUCUCGACUACGGAAGGGAGAGUCAAGCAGAGGCGUAUCCAGUCCAUUCCUAGCGUGGGCAGUGGCUAGCAAGUGGAAGGCAAUCUGCUACAAGU